rnacentral:rRNA from 1 species
AGAUGCAUUCAUACCAGCAUUAAUGCACCGGAUCCCAUCAGAAAUCUGCAGUUAAGCGUGCUUGGGCGAGAGUAGUACUACGAUAGGUGACCUCUCGAAAAGUUCUCGUGUUUCAUCCC